GACGAACGCUGGCGGCGUGCUUAACACAUGCAAGUCGAACGGUAAGGCCCUUCGGGGUACACGAGUGGCGAACGGGUGAGUAACACGUGGGUGAUCUGCCCUGCACUUCGGGAUAAGCCUGGGAAACUGGGUCUAAUACCGGAUAGGACUCCUGGCUUCAUGGUUGGGGGUGGAAAGCUUUUGGGGGGUGGGAUGGGCCCGCGGCCGAUCAGCUUGGUGGGGGGGUGAUGGCCUACCAAGGCGACGACGGGUAGCCGGCCUGGGAGGGUGACCGGUCACAGUGGAAAUGAGAGACGGACCAGACUCCUACGGGAGGCAGCAGGGGGGAAUAUUGCACAAUGGGCGCAAGCCGGAUGCAGCGACGCCGCGUGAGGGAUGACGGCCUUCGGGUUGUAAACCUCUUUCAGCUAUGACGAGGCGCAAGUGACGGUAGUAGCAGAAGAAGGACCGGCCAACUACGUGCCAGCCGCCGCGGUAA
rnacentral:rRNA from 1 species